UACAGAGGGUGCGAGCGUUAAUCGGAAUUACUGGGCGUAAAGCGCACGUAGGUGGCGACGUAAGUCGGGUGUGAAAGCCCCGGGCUCAACCUGGGAAUUGCAUUCGAGACUGCAUUGCUGGAGUACGGAAGAGGAGGGCGGAAUUCCCGGUGUAGCGGUGAAAUGCGUAGAUAUCUGGAGGAACACCGGUGGCGAAGGCGGCAUCCUGGACUGUAACUGACACUGAGGAACGAAAGCCAGGGGAGCAAAGCGGG
rnacentral:rRNA from 1 species